rnacentral:misc_RNA from 1 species
AAGUCGUAACAAGGUUUCCGUAGGUGAACCUGCGGAAGGAUCAUUACAGUAUUCAAUUGAUGAAUGGGAAGGCAACUUCUCUAUUCACUCAAACCACUUGUUGUGAACAUAAAAAUCGUCUUUGGUGGUUAAACUUGUUUCUUUUAACAAGGCACCCGUACAAGUUCAAAAGACUUGUACAAACUCGUGUUUUCUCUUCUUGAGAGACAACAAGUGUUGUUGUUGUGUUGGCUUUUGCUAACGCUUCGCCUCGCUUGGAAGAGGGGCCACCGCUUUUAUUUAACUAAAUCGUCUGUAUUUACCUUUUUUUGUUAAAAAACAUAAAACAUUUUAACAAGAAACAACUUUUGACAACGGAUCUCUUGGCUCUC